rnacentral:rRNA from 1 species
GACGAACGCUGGCGGCGUGCUUAGCACAUGCAAGUCGAACGGAAAGGCCCUGCUUUUGUGGGGUACUCGAGUGGCGAACGGGUGAGUAACACGUGAGUAACCUGCCCUUGACUUUGGGAUAACUUCAGGAAACUGGGGCUAAUACCGGAUAGGAGCUCCUGCUGCAUGGUGGGGGUUGGAAAGUUUCGGCGGUUGGGGAUGGACUCGCGGCUUAUCAGCUUGUUGGUGGGGUAGUGGCUUACCAAGGCUUUGACGGGUAGCCGGCCUGAGAGGGUGACCGGCCACAUUGGGACUGAGAUACGGCCCAGACUCCUACGGGAGGCAGCAGUGGGGAAUAUUGCACAAUGGGCGGAAGCCUGAUGCAGCAACGCCGCGUGCGGGAUGACGGCCUUCGGGUUGUAAACCGCUUUCGCCUGUGACGAAGCGUGAGUGACGGUAAUGGGUAAAGAAGCACCGGCUAACUACGUG